rnacentral:rRNA from 1 species
GACGAACGCUGGCGGCAUGCCUAACACAUGCAAGUCGAACGGAGAUUCUUUCGGUACUCUUAGUGGCGAACGGGUGAGUAACGCGUGGGCAACCUGCCCUCUAGAUGGGGACAACAUCCCGAAAGGGGUGCUAAUACCGAAUGUGACAGCAAUCUCGCAUGAGGAUGCUGUGAAAGAUGGCCUCUAUUUAUAAGCUAUCGCUAGAGGAUGGGCCUGCGUCUGAUUAGCUAGUUGGUGGGGUAACGGCCUACCAAGGCGAUGAUCAGUAGCCGGUCUGAGAGGAUGAACGGCCACAUUGGGACUGAGACACGGCCCAGACUCCUACGGGAGGCAGCAGUGGGGAAUCUUCCGCAAUGGGCGAAAGCCUGACGGAGCAAUGCCGCGUGAGUGAUGAAGGAAUUCGUUCCGUAAAGCUCUUUUGUUUAUGACGAAUGUGCAGAUUGUGAACAAUGAUCUGUAAUGACGGUAGUAAACGAAUAAGCCACGGCUAACUACGUG